GCGUGUGAUCUCUCUCAAAAUAAACAAUCAAAAUACACACAUACAUACAUAAAGACUCUAGAAUUUUCACUGAGAAUUCCUCUUUUAACUCUUUAUUUGGAACAAUGGCAGAUUAUCAUUUAGAAACUGAAUCUAAUGUUAGUCCUGAAAUUAACUUUCUUGAACAGAAAAAUCAACACGUCUUACCCAAGGGUCUUCAACAUUUUGAUGAAAAAGGUGAACAAAUGAAGGAUAAGACCAAUAUUACCAUCCCAGCUGACCCAGCUACCGUCUAACAUUGGAACAAAGGGGAAGAAGAAAGAGUACAGAAGAGGAAGAAGGGAAAUAUCAAGAAGGCGACAACUUCUUUAGCUCUUGACAGACAAGCAUAAGGGAAGGGCUAUUGUCAUUCAUUGUAAUGAAUGUAUCAAAACCACUGUGUUAGAUUAAAGCAUGAGUGCUGUCUUA